rnacentral:rRNA from 1 species
UGGGGAAUAUUGCACAAUGGGCGAAAGCCUGAUGCAGCGACGCCGCGUGAGGGAUGACGGCCUUCGGGUUGUAAACCUCUUUCAGAAGGGACGAAGCGCAAGUGACGGUACCUGCAGAAGAAGCACCGGCUAACUACGUGCCAGCAGCCGCGGUAAUACGUAGGGUGCGAGCGUUGUCCGGAAUUACUGGGCGUAAAGAGCUCGUAGGCGGUUUGUCACGUCGUCUGUGAAAUCCUAGGGCUUAACCCUGGACGUGCAGGCGAUACGAGCUGACUUGAGUACUACAGGGGAGACGGGAAUUUCUGGUGUAGCGGUGGAAUGCACAGAUAUCAGGAAGAACAGCGAUGGAGAAGGCAGGUCUCUGGGUAGUAACUGACGCUGAGGAGCGAAAGCAUGGGUAGCGAACAGG